AGAAAUAUGUCUGAUAAUAGAGUUACUUUGAUAGAGUAAAUCAUAGAGGUCUAAACCCUCUUAUUUCUA
rnacentral:tRNA from 1 species